UCUCCAGGAUCGCGCCCUAGGCCGAAGGCAGGCGCCAAACCGUUGCGCCACCUAGGGAUCCCAGGGUUAUUAAAUUUUGAUGAAGUCCAAUUCAUUUACUUUUCCUUUUAUUGCCUGUGCUUUGAUGUUAUAUAUAAGAAUCUAUCGCCAAAUCUAAAGUCAUGAAGCUUUUACUCUAUGUUUUCUUCUAUGAGUUGUAUAGUUUCAGCUCUUAAAUAUAUAGGUCACUGAACCACUUUAAUUUUCCUAAGUAAUGGUGCAACUUUGUUCCUUUGCACAUAGAUAUCCAGUUUCUCCAGCACCACUUUUUGAAGACUAUUUUUUUCUGUACUGAACUGUUUUGACACUCUUGUAAAAAAUCAGUGGGACCAUACAUGUGAGAGUUUAUUUCUAGCCUCUGCAUUCUAUCCUAUUGGUCUAUGAAUUUGCCUUUAUGCCAGUACCACAUGGUUGUGAUUACGGUAGCUUUAUGCUGUUUUGAAAUCUGUAAGUUUGGAAGCAUGAGUCUGCCAAAUUUGUUCUUUUUCAAGAUUGGUUUUGUUAUUUGGGGAGUCCCAUUAAAGUCCACAUAAAUUUUAUAGUGAGUUUUUCUAUUUCUGCAAAACGUGCUGAAUGUGUAGACUGCUUUGAGCAAUACUGUAAUCACUGCAUGUGUACUGAAUGCACUACACAUACACAGGAAAAGAUAAUGUGAUGUAUUACAUUAAUUUUUGUAUAUUGAACCAUCUUUGUAUAUUGAAGAUAAAUAUCUUUGUAUACUCCCUUUGUUACUGAAUUUAGUUACUACUAUUUUGCUAAAUAAGAAAAUCUUAAAAUCAAAAAUUCUUAAAAUCAAAUCCUCUGAUGUAGGAUUUUCAGUCCUAAAAAAAUCACUUCCCACCGAGACAACAGAGGUACACUACUGAUUAACAAAAUGGCAGAGGACCAAGUCAAAGAACUCUACAGGAAUAAAAAAAAAAUUUUAAUUUGGUAUUUUUAACCUUAUCAAAAUGAUUUUAUAAGAUAAUUGGGUAUUUUCCAAAGGUAUGGAGAAAUUUUUUACUCAUAAACUUACAAUGUUAAUUACAUACCUGCAUUUACAUGAACUACGAAAAAAAAAAAAGAAUAUCUAAUAAAUGGUUAAACUAUUAGUAUGAUCUUUAAAAUGUAUUUUUGUAAAAUAUAUCAAGUCCCAACUGGGUCAUUUUGUUAUAAAGCAAAAAUCAAACCAUUACCUUAAAUGUUUUGUAAAAAGCAGCAUCCAAAGCUUUCAAAAUUUCCUCAUCAGGACGCCACUUCAGUUUUCCUCUAAGCCCAUGACCUGUUUUAUAAGUUUCUGAUGCAAUUAAAACAUGAAAUGGAUGUAUACGAGCCUAGAAACAAGACAGAGACAGAAAUAAAUGCAAAACAAUCAAAUGAAAAAUAGUCAUUAUGUGUCUUAGAUUUUAUUACUGUAGCUAAUAAAUGUAUUUCCUAAAGAAAAGACAAAAAUGAGGACAUAUUAUCUUACAUUUCAGAGUUAAUUGAAAUUUGGUAUUAUAAAACUCUCAGAACACCUAAAAAUGCACUAGUUACAUUUCCAGAAUUUAGGAGUUAACUUUUUCAAUUAGUAGCAGCUAACAAAUGCUUAGCGUUUUUUAGAUUUUUUUAAAGCUCUUAUUUAUUUGAGAGGGUGAGCAAAAGUACACACACAUGAGUGGGGGGGAAGUGCAGAGGGAGAGGGAGAAGCAGACUCCCUGCUGAGCAGGGGGGAUCCACAGACCCAGAAAUCAUGAAUGGAGUUGAAGGCAGACACUCAACCAACUCAGUCAGCAAAGCACCCUAAUGCUUACCUUUUUUAACAGUUUUUCAUUACAUAGUUUUUCACAUACUAAAGAUACUUCUGAAUUUCCUGGUUCAAGAACUGAAUUAGCAGUCAUUUUUCCUAGGUUCCUUAGUAAUGCAGUAAGAGGCAUUUCUUGUAACAAAGCCUUCCAUACCUAUUGAAGUGAAAACAUAGGUAGAAAUGUAAGGAAUUAAGGGGAAAUGAAUCAGUAUAAUAGCUGUAUCAAUAAUAAUACUAUUAACAUUCUUUAAGACUUUCUUUUGGGGUUUGAAGUAUUUCCUCAAUAAAAAGAUUUGCACAAUGAUCAAAGGCUUAUCAAAUUAACUUGCUCUCUACUAUAGUAGGAAAGUGAAGUGUAUUCUAUGAAGGAACUGCAUAGAAGAAUUUUACUUAUUUUUAAUUAUUAGCAAGGCAAAUUAACUGGCCUAUCUGAAGUAGAAAUAACACUUAACUGAAUGCCAACUACAUCUGGGCAUUGUGUUAAGUACUUUAAAUAAGUAUUAAUUUCAAGAUAUAUUUUACAUUUUUGUUCAAAAGAACUGUAUAUAUAGUUACCGUCUUAUAAACUACAUAUCAUAAAUUACUUUAUAUAUCACACCUUAAAUUUUAAUACUCCUGUUUAAUCACAUGCUAUAUUAUAAUUUACUUACCUCUUUAGACUUUAAAUGAUUUGUUAGAAGAUGUUCCCUAACUAAUCUAUGUUCUUCUAUUAGAUGAAUGACUUCCAGUUCAUCCUUUGUGCGUUUCACUUUCUCUACGGCCUCCAGAUACUUUAAUAAUUUUUCAGUCUCCACAGAAAGUGCUUUUUCUUUAUACAAUUCGUGGACUUCUUUCCAGCCCUUUGUAAUAUAUUUGGUCACAAUAGCAAGUCCUUUAAGAGAAUAAGGAAUUGAAACAGCAUGAGAAUUUCUGGGUGAUAAACAACAUAUAUACUGAGAAUGCAGUAACUAGAUACAGAGGAGCUAAACUCUUUACACUGUGAGGCCGCUUUCUGUGAUAUAACAGACACAUUUAAGCCAACGGAGUCAAAUGAUCUCGCUUAUUUCGUCACAAUUGUUUUAAUACAAGGCUCUGGAGAAAAAUCUCCUAUAUUCUAAGUCAUUUUAUUAUAGAGCUUUUGGUUUUGUUGUUUUGAGACACCAGCAUUAGACAAUACCUAUCUCAGGUCUACAAUCUCAGAAUGAUUCACAAAGUACAGAUCUGUCUCAAUCUUCAAUUCACUUGUUCCUUUUUGCUACUAAACAAGCAUUUAUAAAUAGCAGAGAUAAGUGGAAGUGGACAUGUAGGUAAGUAAUUUGUUGUUUUUAAUAAAUGAGAAAGUAUUACAGGCCAAAUUAAAGAAAGAAACCAAGAUGUUUAUUUCUUUUGUGAUUUCUUUUAAUAGUUGAAAGGGCUUUGGAUUGGGGGACUGAGGAAGUCUGUGUUCUAUCCUACAUUCUACCAAUAAAUGGCUGUGUGACCAUUCCAGGCCUUAAUUUUACCUCUGUAAAAUGGAGAAGAGGAUGUUUGAGUUAUCAUACUCAAAAAGGUCUAUGGGGUAAAUGCUGGUAAAAUAAAUAGGACAAGUCACAUAAUAGAGAGUGGUUAAGAUGAUGGAACUAAAGAGUAUAACCUACUAAUGUUUCAGUGAAGUUCUGGCUUACUGCUGCCAAAGAAAGUAUUUUCAAAAGAAGCCAGAAUAGGUAUUUUUAUGCGAGGUCUUCUGAUUUUUUUAAAGUGAUGUUAGCCAUGAAUUCAUUUUUUUCUAAAAUACUGGCCGAAUAAAUCCAUCUUUAAGGCAGAUUGAGCCUAUGUGAUAUCUCUGGACUCUAAAUAAUUUGAUCAAAAGUCAAUACUAAUAUGUAGGAUCUUCUAAAGUACUUUGACUCUUCCAGAUUUUAGUACAAAAUCUAAUGUUGUCUUAAAUUACUAAAUGUUUCAUAUGUGAGCACAUCUUCUAUUUUGUCUUUCCAGUUAAAUAUAACUUCUUAAAGGCAGUCAUCUUACUCAAGUUCUAUGCUGGCCACAUGAUUUUAGAAAAAGAACUAAGUAUAUGGCAUAGCUGUGAAGAAAUGUUGACAGAUAAGACAGUAACAGAGCAACACAAGGAAUCUUACCCUUCCAUAUGUUAAUGACAACCAUGAAGACAAACAUUCUCAACACUUCUGCAGGAAAAAAUCCUCAGCUUUUCACAUGCUUCUGUGACUCGUCUUUCCAGGAUGCAACAUAGGACAGUGGAACAGAUCACACAAAUGGCCCCUCUCUACUUGUUUGUGCAAAUUUACCAGAAUCAAAUUUUUAAAGUGAAAUAUGAAAAGUGGAAUGGCAGCAGUUCUAAGUAAUCCUCCUUGUCCCUGAGUGCUGAAUUAUAAAUUAGCUUUAAAAUUGGCUGGGUGAUAAGAGAGGGGUAUAAUAAAGAAUAUCUCGUUUUUGUCCAUGUUUCUGGGCAGAGCUUCAAAAAUCCUUGGAAUUUCCAGAUUGAUAGGAGUCUCUUUGUUAUGCUAAUGUGGCAAUUCAUUCUGGGCUUCUGAAUGGGGGCUGGUCACCGGAAAGACUAAUCAUUUGAUUAGAGGGUUGGAAUUUUGGGCCAGAUCAAACUCCCAGGAGGGGUGUUAAGGCUCAAGACUGGGCUCAACCACACAGUCACCCAAUCGUAAUCCAU